UAAAAGCAACGGGCUGAGCAAGGCGGUGCGUGAAGAGGGAGUCACAAGAGUUCUGAGUGCAGGCAGGACAGGACAGGACAGGGUGGGGUAGCAUUCCACUAGCCACUGACUCAGAGGUUUCAAGGAGGAAACGCAAGCCUGGGGGCUAGCGAAAUAAAGGAAAGAGAUAAGCAUCGCAGCCCAUGCUCAUUUGUGGAGAAUGCGAAUGGGGAGAGCUGCAAAGUCCAGAGGCUGAGGCUGAGGGACAGAGUGGACCUCCAGAAUCCAUGCACUGAGCUAAGGAAGGAAGAGAGUGCUUACACCAAGUCUCUCAGCUAUGACACAAGAAGGAGAGGCACUGUUCACAAGCCCACUCUUCUGGGGCUCCCCUUAGGAAUGGAAGCCUUCCUCUUAUGAACCCCAAUGGGAGCCUCCUCUGACCUCUCCGUAUAGUUACUAUUCACCAGAUAUCCAUGUGCUAUGUGGACAAAAGACAAGCAAGGGCAAAUUUCACUUCUGCUUCUUACCAGUUAGUUACAUAGCUCUGAACAAGUCAGAAGAUAACCGAAGAACUGACCAGGGGCUCCAUCAAGACUAACAGGGCUGCUAUAUGCAGGCAUGGGCACAGGUCCGCAGUUACUUUAAUUGUGGGCAUUAUUUAUCCUGUUUGUUCCAAAUUCAGGAGCAAUGCUCCAAAUGACCUCAGGGGCUAUCCUGAAUGCAUCUAGGGAUAAGCAUGUUGGGGGAAUUGGUCAUCCCUGCAGCUCUGCCUGGGCUCAGGCCAGAGCCAAGGUAGUGAGGGUGGGCAUGCAAGUGGGAGUGGGGGCUGCCAUGGGCUAGUAGCUGUGGGAGUGGGGACCUGGCUUCACGUCCCCCCACGUGGGAGGUUGCCUGGAUCUCAGGCAGUCCUGCCUUUCUGGUUAGGGCUUCCCAACUUUUGCGGCUGUCCUCAGGGGAAAGCUAUUUUAGGUAGCAGUCAAAAUAAAACUGAGAUUAACCCAGAAUUCUUGGCAGUCGAACAAUACCAUAAUUAUGCGCUUUUUAAGUUCAGAAAUGAGGCAUCUGGCACUGACCCGCCAGGGUUUGAGGGGCGCCUUGAGGAUAAUAAGGCCUGCGUCUUGGGCUCUGUCACCUUUACACAUUCUUAGCCUUGGGCAGCUACCA
rnacentral:lncRNA from 1 species